AGUUUUUCCGGAAACAUACAUUAAUUCUAGCGGCCGGGGACUCUGGACAGACUAGAUUAAAGCAUAACUGUCCGAGAAUCUAGUGUUUUAUGACUGAAGACUGUUAUUGUCUCUUCAUUUUUAUCUUUGCCUCAGUCAUUGAUUUUUAAAAACGAUAUGAAUCGUAUCCACUGAAAAAGGCCAUUCAGACCUUUCUGGUAUAUUGAAAGGGAGAGAAUAUUCUACAUGCAUGUAUAAAGUAUUGAGCAGAUUAAAGGCAUUGUUCUCCACAUCCAGUUGAUCGGUAUUCUACAACUUAAAAAAAAACAUCGUGUAUUGAAUGACACCAAAAUUAUAAUAUUAUUUUUAUAUAUAGCUGUCCAGUGUUACAUGUUCUGGAAGUUGUUAUGGAAAGCAAUCGUCUAUAGCUCGUUUGACUUGAUAACAUUCCCAAGGUUGAUUGCUUCGGCGUGACUGUGUGUGUGAUUGUGUCCGAUUACUGAGUAUUACAUAGAUGACGGAGAGAAAAGUGGCGUUGUGAGGAUCAAGUAAUUGUCUUAUGUAACGUGUAUAUUUUAUUAUAUUUGUAUUAAUAUUUCUGUUUAUUCAUGUUUUUUUCUCCUAUUUCAGUGGAACAAAUUGUAAUAAAUGUCAAAUCCAUAUUUUACCCCUUAAGUCUGGGGAGGUGUUUUUUUUGUGAAUAUGCAUUUGCGUAACAAACAAUUUAUUUUGCUAUGCUUAGUAUAUAAAAAAAAUAAUCUGUGCCAAUCUUGUUUGAAGUCAUAAUACAAACACAUUACUUGUUGUAAAUUAAUGUGUUUGUCAAAAUUUUACAGGUACAUUUACAUUGCAACGCUACCUGACGCCGUAUUAUAUUGUCACGAUUAAUGAUAUUCCAUUCAAAGAAUUUUUCGUUGAUUAAUGUUAUCGUGUGUUAUGGUCAUUUAUUAUUGUCUUAUCGGUCUUCACUGUGUUUUUAUGUAAUCUUUGUUUUUUUUGUUUCAUUUGUUAAUGUUUGCAAAAAAGUAUUUUUAAAAUUCUGACUUGGCAAAUAUAGUUGACAAUUGUG
rnacentral:misc_RNA from 1 species